rnacentral:misc_RNA from 1 species
GAAUCACAGACACGAGAAGGCUUGGUUUUAUUAGGAGCCAAAGACGCAUUUAUGACCUUCCUGCUGCUACAUGUAUGGCAAAACAGAAGACCGCAAUUAUAACAGUUAUGUUUCUUCCUUGUAAGUCCAAAGAGCAUCCUACAACCACUACAAGCUGACUGAUCAGAAACAGAGAUUGAUUUGUGCAGACAGAUUACAGCAGUUAAAUUUGAUCCACAAGUUACACUUUCAACCUGCCUGUUUCU